rnacentral:misc_RNA from 1 species
AAUAAUGACUAAAAAAGUUUUUUUUCCUUUUUCUUCGUGAAAUGGUGCUUUACGAGUUGACAUGGCAACAGAUAGGGUAUCCGUGAAAAUCACUCUAUCUGUCCGAACCUCUGAUUAAUAUUUUUAAAAUCUGAAUCUUCUCAAAUUCGAUUAAAAUUUAUUUUCAAUUAACCGAACACAUUACAAACUCAAUUAUUAUUACUCAAAAA